UUGAAUCUGUUGUGCUUUUUCCAGGAAAUUCUGAAUUUUAGGAUAGUCUACAGGUACCAUAAAUUGAGAAGUCCAAACAAUUCAUUAUCUUCCUUGAAGCCCAAACCUGCCAUUUUUCUCAGAUAGGAAAGCCACCAAACAUAGGGAGCAUGCCUGCCACUUCCCUCUGGCCCGUCUCUGGCUCAUCCGCCACAGAGACCUAUUUAUUACAUCCCCUGAGUAUUCUUCUAAUUCCCCCUCCUUUCCAUCCCCACUCUUUCAGCCACACUUCAGGACCAUGGUCUGUGCAUCGCUUAGUCUCAUCCUAAUUUAUCCGCAGCUCCACCCACUCCAACCUCCUCUCCCCUCUCUAAGACAACCUUUACUUCCCCACCUAUGCCUGUUCCAAUUUACUGUCUCUGAACCCCACAUAUGCCCUUUUCUGCCCUACAUUAUGAUAACUGGAGCUGGACCUAAUUUCUUUCGUUAGCGGGCACAAUGUUAGACCUUGUCAGUAGAGGGCGCUAGAGGGACACUGCACAAGGAAGGGGCUUCUCUUCUGGUUCCAGCUCUGUUCUUAGAAAACAAUGAGCUGUCUCCUUGCCAACCAGCAGCUCCCUUGGUAGGGGCAUGCAGAAGACCUGAUGACACAAACCCUCCAAAGAGUUUCACCCUCACCACAACAGGUGGCUUCCUGCUCGGCAGCCCAUCCUGCAUCACUUCAGUGGACUUCUCUGACAUCUACUAGACCACAUUAAAUGAAUCACAGCCUUGAAACUGAACUGGAAGGACUUCCUUCAAGAUUUUUAUCUAAUUCCUGUUGGACAGUGUAAAAUGCCACUUCUUCCAGGGUUGCCUGCAUAUCAUCAAAAGGGAAAUAGUACUCAUCGAAGAUGUGCCUUUGCUAGGAACUAGGACAAGGGUGGCCUUUAUAAAUUCAUGAAGAGAAGGAGCCAGCAUAUGAACUUGCUGCCUAUCUUUAGCAAGGAGAUGCAAAUGACAUCCACAAACCUCUUCUGCUGUAUACCUGGAUGAAAGCAAGGCUAGCUGUGUGUCCUAUGGCACCAAGGACUGAAAGAUUGUAAGAAGUAAGAGGGAAAGUGAUCCAAAAAGGUGGAACACCUAAUGUACAGCCCCAAGGAAGGAGCAUACUUGGAGAAUUCAAGGAACAGAAAGAAAAACAGGAAGGCUGGAGUGAAACUGAUUAAAUAAAGCAUCGUAACAUUAGAGGUCCAUCAUAGAGGCCAAGCCAAAUACAACUAUGUUUUCAAGCAUAAGAUGGAUAGAUGUGGUAAACCACAAGAAGCAAACAGCCCUUUAGAGGUGUGGAUUGACCUUGCAGAGUUACAAGUGGAGCCAGGAGAAAUCAUGUUGAGUGGGACUUCUCAUCCUACCUAAGAGAGACUAACAGAUGGAAAGCUGGGUACAGAAGGGAGAGAAGGCAGUAACAGUCAGAUUUCAAUACGCUGAGACUGUGACGUGGGACUUUUGAGUGAGUAACAUCUGCUCCUAGAACUGAGUUGAGUGGGGAUCCUCCCACACCACCCAGGCAAGAGAACUAACAAUUGAUGACUGCUCCAAAUCAGUCGCCAGUCUACCUAAUACUUCUACCUGGUAGGUAGCCUGAUACCCACUAACAUCAGGUCUUGCUCUGUUGCCUGGCCUGAAGUGCAGUGGCAUGAUCAUGGCUCACUGCAGCCUCAACCUCCCAGGCACAAGUGAUCCUCCCACCUCAACUUCCAGAAUAUAGAAGCUGGAACUACAGUGACCUACAUCCAAAGUGAAAAGUUAUUCAGCCUCUGAAGAGAAGCAUUUUGUUUGGGGAUCUUCAAGUAUGCUUGUCAGCACCGAGAACUGGAAAAAAAUCUCUGAUUGUCCUGCAGCAAUGGCAUUAAAGGCUCCUCAUAACAUACAGAACCAGAAUUGUGCCAUAAUUUACUGAAAUUGAACAUUGCUCUGUGACUGCUAAUUUUCCAUCGAGAUGAUUCUGUCUCUAACCAAGAAAAGAAAAGUUUGUCUUCCUGACUGCUGACACUGCUGACCAAGCCCACCACCAGAUGCCUGGCUGCACACCCAGAGGGCAGCCGCUUCCCGUGGUCCUCUCGAAGAACUUCCCUUUUGCAAUGCAUGUUUAGCAAGUGGAUGAGUUUGUCUUUUCUGAUUUCUCUGCAAGCUCUGCAUUGCCCACCUGAACCAGUGCUUCAGAAGAACUAAUGGGAUCUCUGACCCUCCAACAUCCUCUUCCAGACUUUCACUUUCCUGGCUCCUUGCAGGGACAUGUAAUAAACGUGCUCUCCAGAGAAAGCCUGA
rnacentral:lncRNA from 1 species